rnacentral:rRNA from 1 species
GCGGAGCCAUCCUUGGGAUACCACCCUUGUAGUACUGGGACUCUAACCAUAGGCCAUGAAUCUGGUCUUGGGACACUGUCAGGUGGGCAGUUUGACUGGGGCGGUCGCCUCCCAAAAGGUAACGGAGGCGCUCAAAGGUUCUCUCAGUACGGUCGGAAAUCGUACGUAGAGUGUAAAGGCAAAAGAGAGCUUGAUUGCAAGACAUACAGGUCGAGCAAGGAUGAAAAUCGGACUUAGUGAUCCGGUGGUUCUGCGUGGA